AGUUCUGGAAAGUAUCAAAUUAAUUCAAUUGGUAUGUUUAUAAAGUUUCAAGAUUGUCCUUGCUGGUUGCUGGAAAGACGCAGGAUUUGAAAGUCUGAAAUACCGGUGAUUGUUACUCUGUUUAGAGAUGGAACUAGGACCAAAAAUUUGGUAUGUUGUAGGCGGGGUUAGUUCAAUGAUUCACUGAAAAUUUCAUGGACAUUAUUUAUUUUGAGGAUAGAAAAUACACAAAUCCAAAAAUUUUGUGUCAUUGAAUCAUGAAUGUAACCGAUGUAUUACUUAGUAUUUUGAUAUGCUUUUUGUUUGGAAAUUGUAGAGAAUUAUUGGUUACCUGAGUACAUAGCUUGAACAUGUGUUUGAUAACUAAUCACAUCUACCGAUGCCUGUCAUGGGGUGUAAU
rnacentral:lncRNA from 1 species